rnacentral:rRNA from 1 species
CUGGGUUUAGAACGUCGUGAGACAGUUCGGUCCCUAUCUGCCGUGGGCGCUGGAGAACUGAGGGGGGCUGCUCCUAGUACGAGAGGACCGGAGUGGACGCAUCACUGGUGUUCGGGUUGUCAUGCCAAUGGCACUGCCCGGUAGCUAAAUGCGGAAGAGAUAAGUGCUGAAAGCAUCUAAGCACGAAACUUGCCCCGAGAUGAGUUCUCCCUGAGACUUAGAGUCUCCUGAAGGAACGUUGAAGACGACRACGUUGAUAGGCCGGGUGUGUAAGCGCAGCGAUGCGUUGAGCUAACCGGUACUAAUGAACCGUGAGGCUUAACCUU